CCUACGGGAGGCAGCAGUGGGGAAUAUUGCACAAUGGGGGAAACCCUGAUGCAGCGACGCAGCGUGAGUGAAGAAGUAAUUCGUUAUGUAAAGCUCUAUUAGCAGGGAAGAAAAUGACGGUACCUGAGUAAGAAGCUCCGGCUAACUACGUGCCAGCAGCCGCGGUAACACGUAGGGGGCGAGCGUUAUCCGGAUUUACUGGGUGUAAAGGGAGCGUAGACGGGAUGGCAAGUCUGGAGUGAAAGGCGGGGGCUCAACCCCCGGACUGCUCUGGAAACUGUACGGCUGGAGUGCAGGAGAGGUAAGUGGAAUUCCUGGUGUAGCGGUGAAAUGCGUAGAUAUUAGGAGGAACACCAGUGGCGAAGGCAGCUUACUGAACUGUAACUGACGUUGAGGCUCGAAAGCGUGGGGAGCAAACAGGAUUAGAUACCCGUGUAGUC
rnacentral:rRNA from 1 species